GUGGGGAAUCUUGCGCAAUGGGCGAAAGCCUGACGCAGCCAUGCCGCGUGAAUGAUGAAGGUCUUAGGAUUGUAAAAUUCUUUCACCGGGGACGAUAAUGACGGUACCCGGAGAAGAAGCCCCGGCUAACUUCGUGCCAGCAGCCGCGGUAAUACGAAGGGGGCUAGCGUUGCUCGGAAUUACUGGGCGUAAAGGGCGCGUAGGCGGACAGUUUAGUCAGAGGUGAAAGCCCAGGGCUCAACCUUGGAAUUGCCUUUGAUACUGGCUGUCUUGAGUACGGGAGAGGUGGGUGGAACUCCGAGUGUAGAGGUGAAAUUCGUAGAUAUUCGGAAGAACACCAGUGGCGAAGGCGACUCACUGGCCCGUUACUGACGCUGAGGCGCGAAAGCGUGGGGAGCAAACAGGAUUAGAAACCCCUGUAGUCC
rnacentral:rRNA from 1 species